rnacentral:rRNA from 1 species
UUUGCAGAGGAUGCUAUGGAUCAUGUUUGGAUCAAAGUCCUUUGGAAAAAGGUCCCACGGAAGGUGACAGGCCUGUACUGUUCACAUCAUUUUCCAUGUAUAGCUCCUUCGAAGAGUCGAGUUGUUUGGGAAUGCAGCUCUAAACGGGAGGUAAAUUUCUUCCAAAGCUAAAUACCGGCUAGAGACCGAUAGCGCACAAGUAGAGUGAUCGAAAGAUGAAAAGCACUUUGAAAAGAGAGUUAAAAAGCACGUGAAAUUGUUGAAAGGGAAGCUUAUGUCAUCAGAAAUGACGUUGUUGUUCAGCCGUUUGGUCAACUCUUCAACGUCAGGCUAGCAUCAAUUCGGACAACUGGAUAAAAGGUUCGGAAAUGUAGCUCUUCUCAGAGUGUUAUAGUCCGAUCCAGCAUGCAGCUAGUCCGGAUUGAGGUCCGCUAACAGGAUGC